GCUUCCUUGGCUCAGUUGGUAGAGCGUUGGUCUCAUAGGUUGCUAUGACACAUCCUCAGGUUGUGACAUCCAAAGGUCGUGAGUUCGAGCCUCACAGGGAGCA